CGCCCUCUCCCUCCGUUCCGAAUUACUUGUCGCAGGUAUGGAUGUAUCUAGAUGUAUUUUAGUUCUAGAUACAUCCAUUUUGUCGACGAGUAAUUUGGAAUAGAGGGAGUUGUUG
rnacentral:pre_miRNA from 1 species